rnacentral:tRNA from 1 species
CCCUUAUAGCUUAGUCGGUAAAGAGUCUGCCUGCAAUGCAGGAGACUUAGGUUUGAUUCCUGGAUCAGGAA